UACCAUUCCAAUAAUCUGCCACUGAUUACCUGACUGACACACCAAUGGUGCACCUCCAUCUCCCUAUGAAAUUGUAUAUUAUAUGUCUAAUGAUUUUAAUUAUUAUGCAAUGAAACUGGUACUGAAGUAGGAAGACAUACAGUAUUAAUAUUUGGACUACUUGCAAUAGAAACAAAUGUAAUGUCACACUUACAAGUAAGGAGUUACUUUAUGUGCCACAGUAAGAACAUGAUUGGCAUUAAUAAGAGCUCCUGAUCCAAUAUAUGAAUUACUUGAUGUUAAAAGUGCUGCUUGCCAAGGAUAUUCUCC